rnacentral:rRNA from 1 species
AGAGUUUGAUCCUGGCUCAGAUUGAACGCUGGCGGCAUGGCUAAAACAUGCAAGUCGAACGGACCCGCAAGGGUUAGUGGCGGAAGGGUGAGUAAAAGUAUCGAACGUACCCCGAGGUGGGGGAUAGGCAUGGGAAACUGUGCGUAAUACCUCAUGAUCUCGAGAGAGCAAAGCAGCAAUGCGCCUUGGGAGCGGCGAUAUACCUAUCAGGUAGUUGGCGGGGUAACGGCCCACCAAGCCGAAGACGGGUAGCCGGUGUGAGAGCACGGCCGGCCACAUCGAGACUGAGACACUGCUCGGACUCCUACGGGAGGCUGCAGUAACGAAUAUUCCGCAAUGCGCGAAAGCGUGACGGAGCAAUGCCGCGUGCAGGAUGAAGCAGCUUCGCUGUGUAAACUGCUGUCAGGGGCGAGAAACACUGAUCAGCCCCAGAGGAAGGACCGGCUAAACUCGUGCCAGCAGCCGCGGUAAUACGAGUGGUCCUAGCGUAAGUCGGAAUCACUGGGCUUAAAGGGUGCGUAGGCGGGCCAGUCAGUGCCUUGUGAAAUCCCCCGGCUCAACCGGGGAACCGCAGGGCAUACUGCUGGUCUUGAGGAAGCUAGAGGCCGGUAGAACGAUAGGUGGAGCGGUGGAAUGCGUAGAGAUCUAUCGGAAUGCCGAUGGUGAAGACAGCCGGCUGGGGCUUUCCUGACGCUGAGGCACGAAAGCGUGGGGAGCAAACAGGAUUAGAUACCCUGGUAGUCCACGCCCUAAACGAUGCGCACUAGACGGGUGCGGCUCUGACGCCGCAUCGGUCGUAGAGAAAUUGAUAAGUGCGCCGCCUGGGGAGUACGGUCGCAAGGCUAAAACUCAAAGGAAUUGACGGGGGCUCACACAAGCGGUGGAGCAUGUUGCUUAAUUCGAAACAACGCGAAGAACCUUACCUGGGUUUGACAUGUACGGACUAGUUGGUGGUAACAUCAAUGAGGCCCGCAAGGGUACAACGUGCACAGGUGCUGCAUGGCUGUCGUCAGCUCGUGCUGUGAAGUGUUUGGUUAAGUCCAUUAACGAGCGCAACCCCUGUCGUUAGUUGCUAACGCGUCAUGGCGAGGACUCUAACGAGACUGCCGGCGUCAAGCCGGAGGAAGGUGGGGAUGACGUCAAGUCCUCAUGGCCCUUACAUCCAGGGUCGCAAACGUGCUACAAUGGCGCGCACAAUGCGACGCGAGGCCGCAAGGCGGAGCAAAUCGCAAAAAACGCGCCCCAGUUCGGAUUGCAGGCUGCAACCCGCCUGCAUGAAGUCGGAAUCGCUAGUAAUCGGAGAUCAGCUACGCUCCGGUGAAUAUGUUCCUGAGCCUUGUACACACCGCCCGUCAAGUCAUGAGAGCCGGUAGAGCCCAAAGUCGCCACAGUUCAGUGGUGCCUACGGCAAGAUCGGUGACUGGGACUAAGUCGUAACAAGGUA